GGGUCAGUAGGUUGGUCGUGCCACCGGUACGUACUGGUCUCACUGAUUCCUCCUUCCUGAAGAACCGUAAUGCCAUUAAUUUGGUGUUGCGGGGAAACAGGACUGUUACUUUGGAAAAAUUAGAGUGUUUAAAGCAAUCUAACGCUUGAAUACAUUAGCAUGGAAUAAUGAAAUAGGACGAUCGAUCCUAUUUUGUUGGUUUCUAGGAUUGACGUA
rnacentral:rRNA from 1 species